rnacentral:rRNA from 1 species
AGAGUUGAUCCUGGCUCAGGACGAACGCUGGCGGCAUGCCUAAUACAUGCAAGUCGAGCGGAACGUUGGGAGCUUGCUUCCAAUGUUUAGCGGCGGACGGGUGAGUAACACGUGGGCAACCUGCCCUGCAGAUCGGGAUAACUCCGGGAAACCGGUGCUAAUACCGAAUAGUUUUUUGCCCCUCCUGGGGCAGAACGGAAAGACGGUUUCGGCUGUCACUGCAGGAUGGGCCCGCGGCGCAUUAGCUAGUUGGUGGGGUAAUGGCCCACCAAGGCGACGAUGCGUAGCCGACCUGAGAGGGUGAUCGGCCACACUGGGACUGAGACACGGCCCAGACUCCUACGGGAGGCAGCAGUAGGGAAUCUUCCGCAAUGGACGAAAGUCUGACGGAGCAAUGCCGCGUGAGUGACGAAGGUUUUCGGAUCGUAAAACUCUGUUGUAGGGAAAGAACAAGUACCAAGUAACUACUGGUACCUUGACGGUACCUUACCAGAAAGCCACGGCUAACUACGUGCCAGCAGCCGCGGUAAUACGUAGGUGGCAAGCGUUGUCCGGAAUUAUUGGGCGUAAAGCGCGCGCAGGCGGUCCCUUAAGUCUGAUGUGAAAGCCCA